UACGGGGGGGGUAAGCGUUGUUCGGAAUUACUGGGCGUAAAGGGCUCGUAGGCGGCCAACUAAGUCAUACGUGAAAUCCCUCAGCUUAACUGGGGAACUGCGUGUGAUACUGGAUGGCUUGGAUUUGGGAGAGGGAUGCGGAAUUCCAGGUGUAGCGGUGAAAUGCGUAGAUAUCGGGAGGAACACCUGUGGCGAAGGCGGCCCCCUGGUUGGAUACUGACGCUGAGACGCGAAAGCGUGGGGAGCAAACAGG
rnacentral:rRNA from 1 species